GUUGAGGCCUUGGGACCUGCAGAGGACCCCCAUGCUGCCUCUAACCAGGGCUCUGUAGCCGCAUGGGGCUCCGGCUGCCAUACUGGGAAGUGCUGAUGUGGAGGGACACUGAGGCACAGAGAUUAAGAAACUGACUACAAGGCCGGGCACGGUGGCC